CCCGGCCCCGCGGUAGAGGCGGGAGGCGGAGGCGGCUCGGAAGUCGCGCCCCCGCUGGGUCGCUAGAGGCUGAAGCGCAGGCCAAGCAGCGGAGCGAACGCGGGAUCCAACCCGAAACCCCCGACGGCUGUGGGGACGGCCACGUUCUGCCGCGAAGACCCUUGCGAUGAAAGAUGAGGGAACUGAAGCCUAAAGAAGUCAAUGAACUUGACCAAGAUCACACAAAUUGGCGGUGUAAUAGAGAUUCAACCAUCCAGCUCCAGAGUCUGCAUUUUUAAACCAAGAUAGCAGUCAGCUGUGUUCAGGCAUCACCUGCACUGUUUACAGCCCUCUGAUGAGUGUGUGUUUGUUUCAAAAAUCCAAGCAACCCAGAAUCCCUGAGCUGGCAGAACACACUUGGUUUUAGGAGUAACACAGUCCACCUCCAAAAACCCUUUGCCUGGAGUCAUCAGGCCAGAAGGAACUGGUACAACAUUUUUCAGGUGCUGAAAGAAAAGAACUGUCAACCACAAUCUCUAUCUGGCAAGACUAUUUUACCAAAAUGAAGGGGCACUAAAGACAUUCUCAGAUGAAGGAAAGCUAGAAGAAUUUGUUAAUUUCAGACCUAUCCUUAAAAAUUGACUAAAGGAAGACCUUCAGCAGGAAGGAAAUAAUAAAAGAAGGAGCCAUGGAGCAUAAGAAAGAACAACAUAAAAACGAAGCAUAUGAGUACAAACCAUAGACCAUCGUUUCUCAUGUGAGUUUUAUUUUAAGAAUCUGAAGAUCAAAACAAAAAUUAUAGCAUUAUUUGAUGCUCAAGAUAACAUUGUGAAAGGGGCCAGGCACGGUGGCUCAUGCCUGUAAUCCCAGCACUCUGGGAGGGCGAGGCAGGUGGAUCACCUGAGGUCAGGAGUUCAAGACCAGCCUGGCCAACAUAGUGAA